CUUGGGCGGUGUGAUGAAUGGGUUGGUGCCUGUGUUGCUACUCUUUUAGGGACGAUGUUUGUUUUGUGACAACGGCAUGUCAUGUUGCCUUCGAUUUUGAUUUUGAGAAAGUUGCGUGGGCUAUUGAAACAUUGGCUUUGUUCGGGAGCGAUCGAUGGGUCUCGACUCGUCCGCAGCUCCCUUCAUAUUAUAUGAGCAGCUCUUUCGGAUACGGUGGCUAUGUGGGUUCUUGCGUUCCUCUUCGGUCCGCAUGCGACCUCGUAGUUCACCCGUAACAGUUCAUCGUGCGGUUGGAUCUUGUGCCAUCUUUGCGUUCCCGUUUUUGCUCUCAUGCCGGAGCAAAGGCGGGGCGUGGGGAUGCAGAUGCUGGCUUACGGGGGCGGUGCUGUACGUGUGGGAGUUCUAUGUUAUAUUAGUGAUCGCCGUUGCGUGCGUGCGUAUAGGUAUUCCGUCCGGGAGUGCCUCAGCAGCUCGCAGGC
rnacentral:misc_RNA from 1 species